AAUAGAUACCCAGGUAGUCCACGCUGUAAACGAUGGAUACUAGGUGUGGGAGGUAUCGACCCCUUCCGUGCCGCAGUUAACACAAUAAGUAUCCCACCUGGGGAGUACGGCCGCAAGGUUAGAAACUCAAAGGAAUUGACGGGGGCCCGCACAAGCAGUGGAGUAUGUGGUUUAAUUCGAAGCAACGCGAAGAACCUUACCAGGGCUUGACAUACCUCUGACGUAGGUAGAGAUAUCUAUUCCCUUCGGGGCAGAGGAUACAGGUGGUGCAUGGUUGUCGUCAGCUCGUGUCGUGAGAUGUUGGGUUAAGUCCCGCAACGAGCGCAACCCCUGUUGCUAGUUGCCAUCAUUAAGUUGGGCACUCUAGCGAGACUGCCGGUGACAAAUCGGAGGAAGGUGGGGACGACGUCAAAUCAUCAUGCCCCUUAUGUCCUGGGCUACACACGUACUACAAUGGCUAUUACAACAGGAAGCGAAACCGCAAGGUGGAGCAAAUCCCCAAAAAUAGUACCCGAGUUCAGAUUGUGGG
rnacentral:rRNA from 1 species